rnacentral:lncRNA from 1 species
CUGAGCCUCUUAAAAGGAUCACUCUUGGGAUGCUGUCUCUGAGGACUGUGGCCAUAUGAAAGGUCUCAGCCACAUGAAAAGGUUAUUGGUUGGUGUUCAGGCAUGUAGCUCCAGCAGAACUCCUAGGAAACAGUCAUCAUCAACUGCCAGCCAUGCCACAUUCCAACUCAACUGAACCUUUAGACGAAUGUAGCCCUAGCCUCUAUUUGACUUCAACUACAAGAGAGAUGCCAAGCUGAGACCAGUUAAGCCACAGAACUCUUUUACCUUCGUUAACUCAAACCUGCACCCAUCUGAAGUGAAACCAGCAACCAUUUAACAGCAAACAGUAGCAGCAGCAUGCACCAAAAGAGAAUGGAAAGUGAAAAGAACACAACAGAUCAUUUUAAAAGUAGUGUGUCAAUUGCCUGGUUCUCCACUGACAGCUAAAAUUAAACAAAAAAGUGAAUUCCGUUCUACAGUGUGACCAUCUUAUGGGAACACUAGAGGAUAUCCAUAGACAGCAGAGAAAAAAUAGCAAAAUAGAUAUUUUGACUCACAGAAAAUGAAUGUUUGCAAAGAUUCACCAAGAAAUAAAGUCAACCAAAAAAGCAAAGUCAUGGAAAAGAA